rnacentral:rRNA from 1 species
GACAGAGGUGCCAAGCGUUAGGCGGAAUCACUGGGCUUAAAGCGUGUGUAGGCGGACUGGUAAGUACCUUGUGAAAUCCCAUAGCUCAACUAUGGAACUGCUUGGUAUACUGCUUGUCUUGAGCCACUUAGGGGCUACCGGAACAAAUGGUGGAGCGGUGAAAUGCGUAGAUAUCAUUUGGAACGCCAAUGGUGAAAACAGGUAGCUGGGAGUGUGCUGACGCUGAGACACGAAAGCCAGGGGAGCGAACGGG